rnacentral:rRNA from 1 species
UAAGGAAUAUUGCUCAAUGGGAGAAAUCCUGAAGCAGCAACGCCGCGUGGAGGAUGAAGGGUCUAUGACUUGUAAACUCCUGUAAAGAAGGAAAAAAUUCCCAUUUGAUGGGAGGUGAUGGUACUUCUGGAGUAAGCCCCGGCUAACUACGUGCCAGCAGCCGCGGUAAUACGUAGGGGGCAAGCGUUGUCCGGAUUUACUGGGUGUAAAGGGUGCUCAGGCGGAUUUGUAAGUCAGAGGUGAAAUCUUACAGCUUAACUGUGAAACUGCCUUUGAUACUGCAAGCCUAGAGUAUGGAAGAGAGUGAUGGAAUAUCUGGUGUAGCAGUGAAAUGCGUAGAUAUCAGAUAGAACACCAAUGGCGAAGGCAGUCACUUGGUCCAUUACUGACGCUAAAGCACGAAAGCGUGGGUAGCAAACA